GAUGAACGCUGGCGGCGUGCUUAACACAUGCAAGUCGAACGAAGCACUUUAUUUGAUUUCCUUCGGGACUGAUUAUUUUGUGACUGAGUGGCGGACGGGUGAGUAACGCGUGGGUAACCUGCCUUGUACAGGGGGAUAACAGUUGGAAACGGCUGCUAAUACCGCAUAAGCGCACAGCAUCGCAUGAUGCAGUGUGAAAAACUCCGGUGGUAUAAGAUGGACCCGCGUUGGAUUGGCUAGUUGGUGAGGUAACGGCCCACCAAGGCGACGAUCCAUGGCCGACCUGAGAGGGUGACCGGCCACAUUGGGACUGAGACACGGCCCAAACUCCUACGGGAAGCAGCAGUGGGGAAUAUUGCACAAUGGGCGAAAGCCUGAUGCAGCGACGCCGCGUGAGCGAAGAAGUAUUUCGGUAUGUAAAGCUCUAUCAGCAGGGAAGAUAAUGACGGUACCUGAAGAAGAAGCACCGGCUAAAUACGUG
rnacentral:rRNA from 1 species